AGACCCAGAAGUUCCCGCUGUCCUGCCCGGCACCUGCCAUGACUGUCGGUCUCCUGGGCUUUGUGGCCUUUUGCCUCCUGUGGACAGGUUCAAUGAAUGCUGGCGUCACCCAGACCCCAAGAUUCCAGAUCCUGGAGACAGGACAGAACAUGACACUGAGAUGUGUCCAGGAUAUGAACCAUAAUAACAUGUACUGGUAUCGACAAGAUCCUGGGCUGGGGCUGAGGCUGAUCCAUUACUCAGUUGGUGCUGGUACCACUGCCAAUGGAGAAGUCCCUGAAGGCUACAGUGUCUCUAGAUCAAGUACAAAGAACUUCCCCCUCACGCUGGGGUCUGCUACCCCCUCCCAGACAUCCGUGUACUUCUGUGCCAGCAGUGAUCCACAGCGCUGCACGGCUGCCUCCUCUCUGCACAGAAAGGCAGGGGAGGCUCCGCACCCCCAGAACUCAGCAAUGUCCUUGGCAGAGUUCUCAGCACCAGGACCCUGGAGCCCCGAGGGGCCCGUGCAGU